rnacentral:rRNA from 1 species
AAACCGUUGAAAGGGAAGCGAAUGGAGUUAGCAAUUCGCCCUGCCAGAUUCAGUUGUUCGUGCUUCGCGACGUGCGCGCUCUCGAUCCGCAUGGACGUGACGUGCACGGGUGCGACGUGCGGACGGCGCACUUCUGGCGGGCGAGCGUCAGCGUCGGUCGCCGACGGGCGAUAAGGUCGCGAGGAAGGUAGACGUGCCUUCGGGCGCGUUGUUAAGACUCGCGUUCGCAUGGCUCGACGGCGACCGUGGCUCCUUCACACGGAGGCGACGCGUGCCUGGCUGGUGACUCGUGCGAUCGGUCCGGCAUGUCGACCGUGGCGGACGGCACGCCUGUGCGCUCAAACUGCUGCCGGUCGCUCGCACGAUGUUCGCACACUACGCGUCGAAGACGCUGACGACCAUACGGCUCCAUCCGACCCGUCUUGAAACACGGACCAAGGAGUCUAACAUGUGCGCAAGUCUCCGGGUGAUCGAAACCCGUGGGCGCAAUGAAAGUAAAGGUCGUCCUAGACGAUUGAGGUGAGAAGCGCGCUUCGUCUCGACGCGCGCCGCAUCAUCGACCGACCUAUUCUGCUCUCAGAAAGGUUUGAGUAAGAGCGUAUCUGUUGGGACCCGAAAGAUGGUGAACUAUGCCUGAAUAGGGUGAAGCCAGCGGAAA